rnacentral:rRNA from 1 species
AAAUGAAUAGACGGGGGCCCGCACAAGCAGUGGAGUAUGUGGUUUAAUUCGAAGAUACGCGAAAAACCUUACCAGGGCUUGACAUCCCUAGAAGGUCGUGGAAACACGACUGUGCCUUCGGGAACUAGGUGACAGGUGGUGCAUGGUUGUCGUCAGCUCGUGUCGUGAGAUGUUGGGUUAAGUCCCGCAACGAGCGCAACCCUUAUUGUUAGUUGCUAACAUUCAGUUGAGCACUCUAAUGAGACUGCCGUUGACAAAACGGAGGAAGGUGGGGACGACGUCAAAUCAUCAUGCCCCUUAUGUCCUGGGCUACACACGUACUACAAUGGCGAUUCACAACGUGCAGCAAUGGCGCGAGCCGGAGCCAAUCACCAAAAAUCGCCCCAGUUCGGAUUGCAGGCUGAAACUCGCCUGCAUGAAGUUGGAAUUGCUAGUAAUCGCGAAUCAGCAUGUCGCGGUGAAUACGUUCCCGGGCCUUGUACACACCGCCCGU